AAUUAACAUUAACCGAUCAGCUCGACUUCCACAGUUCACUACUAUAUAAGUCACAGGCAUGUUGUCAGCACUUAAAAAUCACCAAAAAGGUAAAGUUUAUAAAAUAAUUAAUCUAAUGAAUGUCUUUAAAUACUAUACUACCUCAAAAUCACGACAAAAAACAAAUAAGAAAAAUCAAUAAUUACAUUGAGUUUAGGUUAGGAACAGUUUUGUGUGCCAACCAAAGAUCACGUGGUUUAUCUUUGACAGGUCGAUGGAUUGCCUAAUAACAGAAAAACCAGACUUUCAUUAAAAAAUAAAAAUUAGUUAUUUCUGAAUUGGGGAAAUGUAGUGCUACCUCCCUUCAAAAAAUUUUACCAAUUGUUUUUAUGUCUGUGUGUUUUAAAAUCCAAUGUGUUAUGUGUUAAUUUAUUUAUUUAUUUUUUAAAACUAUUCUCAAGUAAGUGCCUACACCCUACCAUUAACUUUCUCUCUGAACAUAUUCCAUCAUACAAUAACUCAAACAAAAUAACCCUUGCCUUUUUCUGAUCUUUUUACAGUUUUACUUUUACAUUUUCUUAACUACUCUCUUUUGACAACCUUUUUUUACUAUUUUUUCAUCUAAAUAGCCUUCUUAUUAUUUCUAUACAUUUCAUAGAUUUCAUAGUGUUUGGCACCUACAAUUUUAUUAAAUCUGUGACAUCCCUUAGUCCUUUGACCGGGAACAAGACAUUUAAAUUUAAUUUAAUUAAAUACUUUUCUAUUUGUCAUUUCACAUACUUUGACCUCUGCCCAUAUCGAAAAACAACGAGCAAAGACCAUCACAUUAGUACAAGAUUCUACAAUAAAGUGAUUUCAAACUUAGCUACAUUUAAAAUACAUCCACUCGAGCAUUGCCUUUCUCCUGUCUAACACAACAUCCUUUGUUUCACAGCACGCAUCUUCCUUCAGGAUCCAUUCAUAUUUCAAAAAAAUUUACUGUGUUUUGACCUACGUAACAUGUCUGUUUGCCCUAUACCUCUCUCUCUCCCAGCUAACCUAUUAGCAUAAGUUGGACGUAUUAACAUGUUAACAACUAAGUGGCAGCGCAUCCCUUGUAACGGCAUCAUUUAACUACUUGUAACGCCGACCAGAAGAUGAUCUGAAUAAUGUAGAGAUCUAAACCGGUCGUCAAGUAUAAUUAAAUGAUUG